UCCCGUGUGGUCUAGUGGCUAGGAUACGCGGCUCUCACCCGCGAGGCCCGGGUUCGAUUUCCCGGCACGGGAA
rnacentral:tRNA from 2 species